UGGAUCUAAUAAAAGCCACUGGUAGUUCUUCUUGAGUCUCACAGUUGCUGCACUGUGGCUAGUCUGGGCAUAUCCUUGAGAAAGUACCGUAUAGACACCUUGGGUCAGUUUUAAGUGUUUAUUGAAGACCUUUGGACUCCCUGUUUUACAUUUGAUGGUUACUUGCGUUGGGAAUCUACCUUUAGGUGCAAUAAAAUCUAGUUUAAAAGCUGCGUUUGCGAGCGCUAGUCGCAGUGUUUUGACUUCCGUCGCAUUGAGACGAGGCGAAAUCAAUCAGACAAAAUCAAGAUGUUUUGUGAAACUACUCUGUGGAGCAUAGAAUGCGACAAACAUCUUCAAACAACCAGGGAUCCGAUAUGCCUGAUGGAAAUCUCAUCUGGGAGAUCUGUUUCCAUUGAGGACGUGAGUGGAGAAGGAUGGCUAUCUGAACAAAAGAUGCCAUCCAAACAGAAUCACAGGAUCAUCCGUAAACCACAAACGACAACCAAGAACCGAAUCUUUAACUCUGAAAAAUUCUGGACCUUCCUCCAAUUAAAGAUAUCCACACCAGCAUGAUGAGGACAAGUGACCCUGAUGUGUCAGAAAGACUUCUAAAAAGGACUUACACAUUGAACAUGUUAAUGUAUCAUAUAGUAAGCAUUUUUAUACUUUUAUUUUUUAGUAAAGAAAAUUAAAUGUGAAUUCUAUUUAUUAAGGAUGAAUUAGAUGCUUGUUUCUUUUAGCACAUUGCUGUUGCUUUGAAUUUCAACCAGAUGGCAGCGAUGAGUCACUGGCUCUGUAAUGAAACAAAUGUGUUGCCCAAGCUGCACUUUGUAGCAUAUUAGUUACUGAAGGCUGAGCUGACUAUUUUGCACAGGAAUUUAACAAAUACAAUAUUAAGUAAACAUCAAUCAAAGCUAAAGUUCAGCAAAAUGUUUAAUUGUUCCUCCUGCUUUAAAAAACGACUAAACUACAUAUGAUUACGUAGAUAUGCAUUAAGGGCUUUAUAAUGAAUAUUUGA